GACGAACGCUGGCGGCGUGCUUAACACAUGCAAGUCGAACGAAGUGCGAUGGAAGCUUGCUUCUAUCAAUCUUAGUGGCGAACGGGUGAGUAACGCGUAAUCAACCUGCCCUUCAGAGGGGGACAACAGUUGGAAACGACUGCUAAUACCGCAUACGAUCUAAUCUCGGCAUCGAGGAUAGAUGAAAGGUGGCCUCUACAUGUAAGCUAUCACUGAAGGAGGGGAUUGCGUCUGAUUAGCUAGUUGGAGGGGUAACGGCCCACCAAGGCGAUGAUCAGUAGCCGGUCUGAGAGGAUGAACGGCCACAUUGGGACUGAGACACGGCCCAGACUCCUACGGGAGGCAGCAGUGGGGAAUCUUCCGCAAUGGACGAAAGUCUGACGGAGCAACGCCGCGUGAGUGAUGACGGCCUUCGGGUUGUAAAGCUCUGUUAAUCGGGACGAAAGGCCUUCUUGCGAAUAGUGAGAAGGAUUGACGGUACCGGAAUAGAAAGCCACGGCUAACUACGU
rnacentral:rRNA from 1 species